rnacentral:rRNA from 1 species
GAUGAACGCUAGCGGCAGGCCUAAUACAUGCAAGACGAACGGUAACAUUUGUAGCAAUACGGAUGCUAGAGUGUCGUAAGGGUGCGUAACACGUAUGCAAUCUGCCCUCAACAGGAGGAUAGCUCCCCGAAAGGGGAAUUAACACUCCAUAAGAUUGUGGUCUGGCAUCAGACAGCAAUUAAAACUACGGUGGUUGAGGAUGAGCAUGCGCAUGAUUAGUUAGUUGGCGGGGUAAUGGCCCACCAAGACGAUGAUCAUUAGGGGAACUGAGGGGUUGAUCCCCCACACUGGCACUGAGAUACGGGCCAGACUCCUACGGGAGGCAGCAGUAGGGAAUAUUGGACAAUGGGUGCGAGCAUGAUCCAGCCAUGCCGCGUGCAGGAAGACGGCCUUCUGGGUUGUAAACUGCUUUUGCCAGGGGAUAAAACGUUCCUGCGGGGAUAAUUGAAGGUACCUGGUGAAUAAGCCACGGCUAACUACGUGCCAGCCGCCGCCGUAAGAC